rnacentral:lncRNA from 14 species
AAGGUCUUUUUUAAGAGCUACUGUGUAUGAGUGUGUGUAUGUGUGCGCAUGCAUGUUCCUGCGACUAGUCAUUCAUUCACAUGGUGAUCAGACAACAAUGGGAGCUGGUUCGUCUACCUUAUCUUGUGGGUCCUGGAGUUCAAUCUCAGAUCAUCAGGCUGGGCAGCAAGUGCCUUCACCCUCCGAGCCAUCUUGCCAUCCCACAGCUGAGCGUCUAAUAUGACAUUGCCGAUGAAAAUAGUCAUCACAACAGCAGUUCUUCAGCAUUACUGAAAAAAAAAAAGAUACUAUUUUUCUGAGAAGGAUAUCAAGCAACUCAUCCAGUUCAGGAUCCAGGUUGAACCACUGCUCUUCAGUUCCAUCAGACUCUGGCUGUUUAGAGUACAGGGUGAAUCUGGAGUUGGUUUUGUGCCCCUGCCUCAAGAAGGAUUGCCUGGAUUUAGAGGAGUGAAGAGUGCUGGAGAGUGCUGGUUGACUGAGAGUCUCUGCCCUUACGGGAACAAUCCUGAUGUGACACUCAGACAGACAGACUGCCAGCGGCUGAUACAGGCUACAUUCCAUUCCAGCAGCUCUUCCCUUCAAGCCCUAGCUAAUCUGAAGAAAAAGCUUACAGGCCACACA